rnacentral:rRNA from 2 species
CAUUUGCCUUUUGUGAUACGCUUUCAAAGAGUCAGGUUGUUUGGGAAUGCAGCCUAAAUUGGGUGGUAAAUCUCACCUAAAGCUAAAUAUUGGCGAGAAACCGAUAGCGAACAAGUACCGUGAGGGAAAGAUGAAAAGAACUUUGAAAAGAGAGUUAAACAGUAUGUGAAAUUGUUAAAAGGGAACCGUUUGGAGCCAGACUGGCUUGUCUGUAAUCAAUCUAGGCUUCGGCCUGGAUGCACUUGCAGGCUAUGCCUGCCAACGACAAUUUGACUUGAGGGAAAAAACUAGGGGAAAUGUGGCCCACUUGUGGGUGUUAUAGUCCCUUAGAAAAUACCUUGGGUUGGAUUGAGGAACGCAGCGAAUGCUUAUUGGCGAGUUUUCCAGGAAGGUUUUCUGAGGUACUACGGUAUCAAGGUUGAUCUUUUUGGUUAUACUUCUAUUCGCU